UCUUAAUUUGAAUGAUUCCCAAUCUAAUUAAACGUUAAAAAUUUAUUAGUGUCUAAUGUGGGAAGGGUUUCUUGUCCCAUGAGUGGGUUCUCAAUUUUUUUAAUCUGUCCUAACUAUUACCAUUUUCGAUUAUGGAGAUGUGUGUAGAAGAAACAGUAUAUUGAUAAAGAAAGUUUUUUCCGAAGUCAAAAGAGCGAUUUCAUUGAAAAAAUAAAGGAUUUCUAAUCAUCUGAUUAUCCUAUAACACUAUAACAUAGACCAAUUAAAUGAAACGAAAAAAAGAGAUGAAAGAGAAUACGUUGAGAAGUUUACCUGUAUCAAAGGUACCUAUUCUUACUACAAUACUUUGUUUUAACUGUAUCGCACUAUGUAUCAUUUGAUAACCCUCAA
rnacentral:lncRNA from 1 species